rnacentral:rRNA from 1 species
GGUGCUGCAUGGCUGUCGUCAGCUCGUGUCGUGAGAUGUUGGGUUAAUCCCGCAACGAGCGCAACCCUUUGUCAUUAGUUGCUACAUUCAGUUGGGCACUCUAAUGAGACUGCCGGUGACAAGCCGGAGAAGUGGGGAUGACGUCAAGUCCUCAUGGCCCUUAUAGGUGGGGCUACACACGUCAUACAAUGGCUGGUACAAAGGGUUGCCAACCCGCGAGGGGAGCCAAUCCCAUAAAGCCAGUCGUAGUCCGGAUCGUAGUCUGCAACUCGACUACGUGAAGUCGGAAUCGCUAGUAAUCGUGGAUCAGAAUGUCACGGUGAAUACGUUCCCGGGUCUU